rnacentral:lncRNA from 1 species
ACAAAAAUAUUUCAAGUCUUGAGUAUUAUAGAAAUUUCAAACAUGUAAUAGUAUAAGCUUUAUGAAAAGAAAACUACAUUUCUACUAGUUUGAAUGAAGAUCUACGCCCCCAGCUGGUCGAUCGAACAAAUCAAUAAUCUCAUCAACAUUGAACUUUGCAGCUAUUACUAACUACUCCCUCCAUCACGGUUUACUCGGCGCGGUUGAGAUUUCUCUGCGACCAAGGUGCUCGCGGAUUGGGCAGAAAAAUAGGAUCUCUUGUCACUCCCUCCGCCUAAUUACCGGAGAGAUUAACUCUUAGUUAACCCCACGUCCAAUGAACGUUUGAUAGCCCAUGCAGCCCACAUU